UUUUGUGAUAAAACCCUAACCCAUGUACUGUUUUGCAGGUACAAUCAAUAAACCCUAACCCAUGUUUAUUUUGCAGGUACAAAAGAGCAAUAUCACAUUCUGUUAAUCGACUAGGGUUUAUUGAGGUUUCGCUUUUGAAUUCAAUCAAAAUCACUGGUUUUGGGUGUAGGAUUCUGCUUUGUGUCAGCAAGCUCUGUCAGUGUCCAGUUACUCCAUCGAUGAUCCAACCUCAAGUGACGGAAGUAAUGUGUCAGUAGGUGACAUAAAUAUGAUGGAGAAUUAAGUACAAGAUGAUCAAGAGCUGGCCACGGGGAAAUUGAUCCUUGCUGUUGUCAAGGCUGAAUACACCACCAUGAGCAAAGAGAGGCCAAAGAUCAUCGUAUGACCCUAAUUAAGAACCUGAGGAUGACCACAUACAUCCGUGGUGACAGGCGUGUCUUAUGCGAAAAAAGGUUGUACUUCAUUCCUUUCACAAACGUCGAAGUUGCGACCAGAGAUAAUCAUGGAGUUCCAAGGUAUGAGUUCCAAGGUAUAUUUGAGAUAGGUACCUAUGUGGUUUAGUAAAACCAAUGGAAGACUUUAGAAGAAUGUGAUAUUGUUGAACAUACAAACUCAGGUAAUCCAAAAGAUUAAAUUUUAUUUUUGAAACCCCUAUACAAGUACUAGAUGCAAAGUAGUUCUGAUUUUAAUGAAGAGUACCCAUAUACAAGUAAUGAAAUUCCAUUUUUGGAACUCAUAUCAUUAAUCAAUGUAGCAUUCUUUGUAUUUGUGACCAGGAAUGAAUUUGAUAAAUAUGAUUUUGGACCUGAACACUGCUAUUUGUUCCAAAUGUUCCAAAUACAGAUUGGAUCAUUUGGGGCAAGUGAGCUGGGCUCAACAAGCUAGAGAGUAAUUUUACUAUCAACAUUCACUAGAACACUCACAUGCAGUCUAAGUUUGUUGGAAAUAACUAAUUUCCAUAAUGAAGUU